GAUUUUGGCUUCUGCUUUGAAAAGCUCCCCCCCACUACUCCCCCCGCCCACUAUCAUAUCCCGCUGCUGAAGGACAGCACAGGAUAAGAGACCACCUCCUUCAGUGAACCCAGAAGUGCCUCCCGUCCUGGUGCUGCCGUGCUUCUGUCCAGCCCCAGCCAUAAACAGUCUUUUCCUGUGGUGUGGGGGUGACGAAAGCCAGAAAUGAAAGGAAUGUUUUCCUAAGACUUGCUAGUUUUAUUUAGCUUGGUUCAAAAUAGACCUCCGACAAGGAUAACAAUAAAUGUCAGCAAGACACUACAUUAAGGCGGACCUGAAGCUCGUUGCUUGUGAUGUAGGAAAAGUUUACCUUGAAACUUUUUGUCCUGAGUUCUUUGAAUUCCAGGAUUUUAAUCCUGUAGUAGAUUCUGCAUAGCAUGUUGGAUGCUUUAAACUUUGUAAUGCUAAGGGUGUUCUCCCUGUAGCCUGCCUUUCCCUUGUAACCACACACCUGGACCAAGUUAUCCUCAGGGCCUUGCACAGAUGCAUUUGGAUGUUUUUUUCUGUCUGAUUUCUCCUAAAGAUUGAUAACUAUGGGUAAGAGAAACAACCUUUCUUACACUGUAUUUUUACCCUUUGCCUCAUAGCUUUUAGUUUAUAACUUUAGAACACGCUGGAUAACACAAAGAGAAAUAUCUUACAUAUCCAAUAAAUAUCACGUGUAAGUUACAUGUGCAUGGAGCAUGCAAUUCCUGCCCCUCAUCAAGCGCACUCCAGUCAGUGCUAACAUCAUCUCAGGCAGGAGCAACCAGUAAUGAGUUUAAGUGGGUUUGGACAAAAACUAUAUUGUUACUACUGGAAAACUGCUCUGUGGACUCCCUGCUCCACUGUAGGGAACAUUCAGAAGACAACAGUUGUCUGGAAGACCCCAUUGCUUCUGUUCCUGGCUGGCCACUUGGAAGAUGGUUUUCCUUCUCUCUCAUUUUCUCUCCUUGUUUUGGCUGUGGUUUUGUUUUGUUUCAUUUUGGUUUUAUUUGUUUGGUUUUUUCAUUGUGGCUGGGUUUUUUGGUUGCUCUCCCCUCUCUUAAAAUAGCUUUGAGGCCCAUGUAUGCCAUGAAUUCUGGAUUCAGCUAAAUGUGUAUAUAUAUAGUUGUCCUAGUGAGAGAUCCAUGUUUAGUGAAUUUAAAAAACUGUGCUGUAGAUAUAUUUCUCAGUCAUCUUUGUGGAACCCCUGCAGAGUGGUUCAUGGACUCCAAGCAGUCUGCAGACCUCUGUUUGAGAAUCAGUGCAGAUAAAGAUCUAUUAUUGGCUUUUUCUCAGCUGUAAUUUAUAGCAUAUCUAUCGAAUAAUGUGAACUACUUUAAUAUUUCCACUUCUGGCAGCAUUUCGGAACAAAGCAACAUCUCUUGAUCUGUUGUUCCUGCAAAGCAAAAUCAUGUACAUCUGUAAAUUGGUGAAUCCUGAUGAUUUUCCUGUUAAAGGCAGCUGAAGAUCUGGUUCUCUGUUUUCUGUGACUACGCUGAGUGGAACCAUAGUUCUGCUUUGAGCCAGGAAGUUACACUGGUUGGGUUGCAGAGGUCCUCUGCAAGCUAUAUGGCUUUAUAAUUCUAUAAAGAAGAAGAUUGCAAAGCUGAGGAACACAGGGAUGCCUAAGAAGAUGGAGAGGACCAGUGGGCAACACAGAGAAAGGAAUAAAAAACCAUACAAUUAAUUAUUUUAGGCUGCAUUUCUUCAAGCUUCACUGUUGGUAUUUUACUGUUAGAAAGUAUGGGGGAUUCACUGCAAAGCCAGAUUUUUGGGAAGAAAAUGAACUUGCAAAUUCAUGAACUAGUUUUAUUUGUUCAGUGUCCUAAUUAAAGGUUGUGUCCUCUAUGUCCACAGCUAGAUUCAAAGCCAUGGUUUCUUUUAGCUUGUAGAGCUAAUGAUACAUAUUAUUGGUAACUCACAGUGUUAUUUGAUGGUCAUAGUCCACCAGGUGACUGCACUACAAGAGCAAUGUAAUAGUGUUAUUGAAAUUGGCACCUAUUUUGUAUACAACAAGCUUUAUCAGUCAGUCCAUGGAAGUUCAUACUUCAGAGCUGAUGACUUUAGCAGUGGAUGAUCUAUGCAGGGCUGGCUGCAUAUGGAAAUGCUGGGUUUGAACAGUAUAUUUGCCUAAGCAAGUCCUCCCUCCUGAGAAAUGAGUAUGGAGAUGGGUAUAUUCUGGAAUUGGCUCUUAUUAGAUGGACAUAGAUGUAAAAUCUGUACAGAGAACUCCUCAUCUGGACAUUUCACAUAGAUAACUGUGUAAUAACUUAAUGCCAAGUCAUAGAAAGGUGCGUAUCAAAACCCCCCAGCGCUAUCAUCUGCUUGCAGCACAGCCUGUAACACUGUCUCACAGGCUUUCUGCAGCACUUGUUAUAGGUUUUGUUUGGCUUCAUGGGCACGAACCAGCCACAGCAAUGAGAGGAGAACAGACUCUCUUCUGUGGCCAAGUAGGUGAAAGGCUGCAUUUGUUGCAUGGUGUAGCUUUAGUGGCACAAAGAGCUUGUGUAAGGGACAUAAAAGCCCUGAGUUUCAUUGAGUAGUCAUGAGAUGGGGGGAAAGAAGGUGAGAAACAUCACAGGAAAGAAAGUGUGGAAAAGGGGAUAUAGAGAAGUGCAAAGUGGAAGAGUUUUUGUAGGGGGCACACAUAGAAGGGGUGUGUCUGCAUUUCAGGAUAAUGUAGAAAUACCUAACUAGUAAGUGAAGGACAUCUUCCUGGGUUAGGUUGGAAUGGGAAAAAACAGAGCAAGUUGAUAGUUCAGGUAUCUUUACACUGUGUCAUGCAUUGACUCAUUAACGUAAAAGUAACUGAGACCCUGAGGAAAGUGUUUUAAAAAUAUAGUAGAAAUCACAAUUGUGUUUGUCAUCUCAUCCCUUUAUUGAGUUUUACAUACAAGUUGGUAAGAGCAGAUAAGAUUCUUUUCAAAUACCUUUUAGAAAGGAUUAGAGUCUCCAUUAAUACCUAGAGGAUAACUUUGAGAGCAGCACCAGCCCAUCACCAGCACAUGGAAAUGCACUGUAGCUGUGCAGUAAUCCUUAUGUAUACAGGGAAAAUCCUCCUUUUUCCCCAGUUUAAAAAACAUAAGAUCCAUCACUGGCCACUUGUUAAGGCCGGAUGGUUCCAUGGCAUGUGGUGGGAAAAGGAGGCAGCAACUAACAGAGAGCAGUGAGCAAGGGGUGCAUGGGAGGGACAUGGAGCAUGUGUGUGAAGAGGAAAAGAAAUGGGCUAAGGCAGAAACUGAGGAUAUUGGGAGAAAAAUAGAGCGAAGAUCAGAUUUAGCUGCAUCUUUAGUCUUUUAGCUAGCUUUAGUUACUCUGCCAAGGAAAAAUACACGUAAGGAGAGAAAGGACCCCAGCUUUCCCUUCCUUUCACUAGAAGGAAAGGCUGAGGAGCUCUGAACUUGGGUUGAGAUGGGUGAAUAAAAUCAAACUGAGUAGGAGACAACAAAAUGACAUCCUGACUGGGCUGGAGAAACGAAUGAUGGAGCACGGAGCCUGAGGUGGGGGAACACAAUGGUUAGGAAGGGAUGCUGUUUCAGCAUCACUUUAACAGAAGUAAACUUCUCUUCCAUCCCUUAAGGGCAGACACAAACUCUUCCUUCCUUCUGUCUCUCCCCUGAAGCAGAUUUCUAGUGCUUGAGAAGCAAUUGGUUAAUGGCUCUGAGAGGGAAACAUUCUUGCUCAUCACCGUAUGGAACAGAUGGGUGCACGAAGGAUGAUGUGGUUCUGCAUAUCAUCAGGAUAUAUGAUUCUGCGCCAGAGGAAACUGAUACAAGUAGAAAGACAGCCAAGGUGCUGAAGUAAUGAGCAGUAAUUCACCCAAAGAUAAGCAAUAACUACUGUGUAUUUCACCGGAUGAAGACUGGCCUGGGCUUUCGGGAUGGAGUAUUCUUCCCCUGAAGAAAGAAAAACCAAUUAUCAGUUCCAUGAAGAUAUCACGGCUUUUCAAAAGAAGAAACUGCACCUUCUUGGAGCAUCUCAAAACGUAUGUGUGCCCACAAGGAAAACUCCAUUUGCCUUUUUCAAGCGAAGGCAAAAGCCUUUUUCCUCAUGUUAGUAUUUAAAACUGGGAUCACAGGCUACAAUAAAAUGUCUUGAUCUCUUUUCUAUCUGGAAAGUAGUUUGGGAAUCAUGCUUCCAUUUCAAAAUUAUUUAGGCAUCUCAAACUAUAUUGUUCUCAGGUCAAUAUGAAGCCCUCAAGAAGGUUGGCUUGUUAAUAAUACUGUUUCUGAGUGACAGUGCUUCCAGUUUGGAGUUUAAAUCAUAGAAUCAUAGAAUAGUAAGGGUUGGAAAGGACCUUAAGAUCAUCUAGUUCCAAAUGUCCCAUAGUAAUACAUCUGACUGCUAUUGUCUCCUCGUUGCCUUUUGUUCUUCUGCCAGCCAGCAAGAAAGGUUCUUAAGAGCAGAUAUACAAAACUUGGUAAAACAGGGCUGUGACCAAGACUUUUAGGUAUUAAAAUAUGAAAUUAAUAAUUAGAUAGCAGAGUGAUAGUUUCAUAUCAAACACCUUUGGAGUGCUGCUGCAUUUCCAUGUCAGUCCUGGUAAGAUCAUUUUAUUGCCAUUCAAGUCCUUGAGGUUCCUUAUUGGACAAAGCAUCAUUCCUGUGAACAGAUUCUGACUGUUUAUUAACAUGUUCUGAGUCUAUCUGCAAUUUUUAGGAUACAGAAAGAAAAUCAGGAAAUCAAUUGUUUCAGGACAACAAGUACUCCUGCAGAGAGGAAAUACCAGAACUGAGUGAUUUUUAAUCUAGGAGAGACCUGUAAAACAAAACCCAGUAAAUAUUUUCUAAGUCAAAACCAAACAAAAUUAAACUUUAAGAGUCAAAAUUUCAAUAGUUAAGCAGAAUAUAUGCUAAGAUUAAUGCAGAGCCUUGGGUGAUGUGGUCUAGUGUGAGGCGUCCCUGCCCAUGGGAGGGGGCUUGGAACUAGACGGUCUUAAGGUCCCUUCCAAUCCAAAUCAUUCUAUGAUUUUAUGAUUAUGUUCAAGCCAAGGCUACAUGCUUUUCUGAAGCACAUGUUUCAAUCAAAUGCUGCUUACCAUGGUAAAUGAUUAUUUUCUGUUCCUUAUCUUAUAAAACAUUAGACCAUUAAAAGCUCCCUGACCUUUAUAAAUCUGUGAAAAAGGAAGAAAUAUUAGUAUCUUAGAGUUACCAUUCAAUCUUCUUUACAUUUCCAUUGCAUUUGAGUGUAAAUUUAAUUGGAAAAAAUACUAUUGAAAAACAUAGGUUUUGAUAUAAUUGUUUUUUCAUAUAUUCUGUGCAGUAUUGGUUAUUUUUCUUCCUCUGCUUUGUUACACAGCUCAUGAUUAUGUGCUACUAGAGUUGGCUAAUGAAGCCGAUAUAUUUAAAACAAAGACAAAAUGCUAUCAAGGAUGUGUUUGAUGUUGUUUUACUCAGACAUAUUCUAUGAUUUUGAGUUGGCAACACUUUUUCUAGUCAUGGGAGAGUGGCUGAGAGUUGGCUUAACUUCCCAAGGCAGCCAACCAACAAACAAACAGAAAUUCCCAUUGUACUGUCAUCGCUUGCAUGAGUUUCACAUUCUGCAGUGGAUCUUGUGUUAGCUGUGUGGGAUUACUAGGCUCAAGGCACAUACUGGUCUGGAUGCCAAGGAAGCAGAGUACAUAAUGACACUUGUUUAGUAUAGAAAGCAGCAGACAUUGCAAGUAACCAUCAGGACAACAAGGAGAGAAGUGCUCUGUUCUUAAUGCUGCCUUGUCAGUAUAAUCUCAUUUAUAAAGAAAAGAGCAUCCUACUGAUGUUCUCCUGUUAUCAUCAGCUUCUUUCCUUUUCUCUUUACUCAGAUUUUGCUUUCAAACAUGAAAAACUCUAAACAGUUACUGAUUUACUCCCUCAGUUACUGAUCUGAAUUUACACCUUUUAGAGGACAAAAAACAUAUUUAUCUCAGCAACCCCAUCCCUCAUAUAUAGUGAUUCUUGGUUGCUUUUUGUGGCAAGAUGUAAACUCCUCCCAAAUCACAAUCUUCCUCUGGUUUUCCACACUGCAAUAUAUUCAUUCUUUCCCUCUAUAAUGUAUAAUUUUUGCAGCUAAAUUUUAACAGUCAGUUGUCAGGGCAGAGUACCAGAGCAGUUAAUACGGGCUGAAGAAACACAGUUUAUAUCCCAAACCUAUAAUUUAUUGCAGUAUAAAGUGUUAGUAAUCCAAACCAAUAGUUCCAAGUACAACACUAACUCAUUUAGUCCAAAUUAUUCAACUAUUACAGCACAUUCCCAAGAAUGCAACAGUGGACAAGAAGAAAGGAAAUAUUUCUAGUAUCUACCCCUUUUUUGGUGUUAAGCUAAUCCUUCCAAUGCAUGUGUGGAUCUUAAAACUGGUGCUGGACUGGUGUUACUGUUUCCAGCUCUUUCCUGUGAGGAGUAUGAUGCUAAAAUUGGUGUUUUCCUCCUGCAUUUGCUUCAUCAGUGUUGUUUUAAUUGCACUGGGCACAGCCUGCAUCUUGUAAAUCUUCACACUGUAAUUCCCAUGCACCCUGCAUCUUAAGCUUUUCUUAGGCUGGGCAAAAGCCAAGAACUAAUUCUUCUUUUAGACUUUGCUAUUUCAAACUGGUUUUCAGCAUUUGCUGGUUUUCCUUUAAUAUAUACUAUUUUCUAUGGGUUCAGACCUCACCCUCCAUUAUUCUAACUCGUUUCUCCCUGCUUCAAAAUGGUAAAAUAAAGGCUGCCAUCCUUAUAGUCCA
rnacentral:lncRNA from 1 species